GACGAACGCUGGCGGCGUGCUUAACACAUGCAAGUCGAACGGAAAGGCCUGCUUUCCCUUGUGGAUUGCGGGUACUCGAGUGGCGAACGGGUGAGUAACACGUGAGUGAUCUGCCCCCAACUUGGGUAUAAGCCUGGGAAACUGGGUCUAAUUCCCGAUAGGACUGCAGGGUGGUGCCUGUGGUGGAAAACGAUUUUCUAGUGGUUGGGGAUGAGCUCGCGGCCUAUCAGCUUGUUGGUGGGGUAAUGGCCUACCAAGGCGGCGACGGGUAGCCGGCCUGGGAGGGUGGACGGCAACAUUGGGACUGAGAUACGGCCCAGACUCCUACGGGAGGCAGCAGUGGGGAAUAUUGCACAAUGGGCGGAAGCCUGAUGCAGCGACGCCGCGUGGGGGAUGACGGCCUUCGGGUUGUAAACUCCUUUCGACCGCGAGGAAGCCACCUGGUUGGAAGGGUGGUGACGGUAGUGGUAGAAGAAGCACCGGCUAACUACGUG
rnacentral:rRNA from 1 species